GACGAACGCUGGCGGCGUGCUUAACACAUGCAAGUCGAACGGAAAGGCCUGCUUUCCCUUGUGGAUUGCGGGUACUCGAGUGGCGAACGGGUGAGUAACACGUGAGUGAUCUGCCCCCAACUUGGGUAUAAGCCUGGGAAACUGGGUCUAAUUCCCGAUAGGACUGCAGGGUGGUGCCUGUGGUGGAAAACGAUUUUCUAGUGGUUGGGGAUGAGCUCGCGGCCUAUCAGCUUGUUGGUGGGGUAAUGGCCUACCAAGGCGGCGACGGGUAGCCGGCCUGAGAGGGUGGACGGCCACAUUGGGACUGAGCUACGGCCCAGACUCCUACGGGAGGCAGCAGUGGGGAAUAUUGCACGAUGGGCGGAAGCCUGAUGCAGCGACGCCGCGUGGGGGAUGACGGCCUUCGGGUUGUAAACUCCUUUCGACCGCGAGGAAGCCACCUGGUUGGAAGGGUGGUGACGGUAGUGGUAGAAGAAGCACCGGCUAACUACGUG
rnacentral:rRNA from 1 species